rnacentral:tRNA from 24 species
CUCUCGGUAGCUUAGUUGGUAAAGCAUUAGACUGUAACUGAUUAACAACCGCUGUUCCAAAGAACAGUUCCUUAAUUGCGAUCUAAGGAUCGGGUGUUCGACUCACUCCCGGGAGA